GACUACUCGGGUAUCUAAUCCUGUUUGCUACCCACGCUUUCGCACCUCAGCGUCAGGGUCAGUCCAGAAAGCCGCCUUCGCCACUGGUAUUCCUCCUGAUUUCUACGCAUUUCACCGCUACACCAGGAAUUCUGCUUUCCUCUCCUGCCCUCAAGAAACCCAGUUUCAAGUGCAUACCCGAGGUUGAGCCUCGGUCUUUCACACCUGACUUAAGUUCCCGCCUACGUGCUCUUUACGCCCAGUAAUUCCGGACAACGCUCGCCCCCUACGUCUUACCGCGGCUGCUGGCACGUAGUUAGCCGGGGCUUCCUCUUAGGGUACCGUCAUUUACAGGGCAUAUUACUCCCCGUAACAUUCGUCCCCUAAAACAGAGCUUUACAACCCUAAGGCCUUCUUCGCUCACGCGGCGUCGCUGCGUCAGGGUUUCCCCCAUUGCGCAAUAUUCCCCACUGCAGCCUCCCGUAGG
rnacentral:rRNA from 1 species